GAUGAACGCUGGCGGCGUGCCUAAUACAUGCAAGUCGAGCGAACAGCCCAGGCGCUUGCACCUCUCACGUUAGCGGCGCACGGGGGAGUAACACGUUGCCAACCUCCCUAUAAGACUGGGAUGACUUCUGGAAACCUGCGCCAAUAUCGGAUAAUAUAUUGUCACUCAUGGUUUAAUACUGAAAUACGGUUAUGCUGGCACUUAUCGUUUUAUCGGCUACGCGUUAGCUCGUCGGUACGGUAACGGCUUACCAAGGCAACGAUGCGUAGCCGACCUGAAAGGGUGAGCGGACACACUGGAAUUGAAACACGGUCGAGACUCCUACGGGAGGCAGCGGUAGGGAAUGGUCUGCAAUGGACGAAAGCCUGACGGAGCAACGCCGCGUGAGGGAUGAAAGGCUUCGGAUCGUAAAACUCUGUUAUUAGGAAAGAACAAAUGUGUAAGUAACUAUGCACGUCUUGACGGUACCUAAUCAGAAAGCAACGGCUAACUACGUG
rnacentral:rRNA from 1 species